CCUACGGGUCGCACCAGUGGGGAAUAUUGCACAAUGGGCGCAAGCCUGAUGCAGCCAUGCCGCGUGUGUGAAGAAGGCCUUCGGGUUGUAAAGCACUUUCAGCGGGGAGGAAGGCGAUAAGGUUAAUGACCUUGUCGAUUGACGUUACCCGCAGAAGAAGCACCGGCUAACUCCGUGCCAGCAGCCGCGGUAAUACGGAGGGUGCAAGCGUUAAUCGGAAUUACUGGGCGUAAAGCGCACGCAGGCGGUCUGUCAAGUCGGAUGUGAAAUCCCCGGGCUCCACCUGGGAACUGCAUUCGAAACUGGCAGGCUAGAGUCUUGUAGAGGGGGGUAGAAUUCCAGGUGUAGCGGUGAAAUGCGUAGAGAUCUGGAGGAAUACCGGUGGCGAAGGCGGCCCCCUGGGCAAAGACUGACGCUCAGGUGCGAGAGCGUGGGGAGCAAACAGGAUUAGAUACCCGGGUAGUC
rnacentral:rRNA from 1 species